rnacentral:rRNA from 1 species
AGCGAACGCUGGCGGCAGGCCUAACACAUGCAAGUCGAACGAAGUCUUCGGACUUAGUGGCGGACGGGUGAGUAACACGUGGGAACGUGCCUUUAGGUUCGGAAUAACUCAGGGAAACUUGUGCUAAUACCGAAUGUGCCCUUCGGGGGAAAGAUUUAUCGCCUUUAGAGCGGCCCGCGUCUGAUUAGCUAGUUGGUGAGGUAAAGGCUGACCAAGGCGACGAUCAGUAGCUGGUCUGAGAGGAUGAUCAGCCACAUUGGGACUGAGACACGGCCCAAACUCCUACGGGAGACAGCAGUGGGGAAUCUUGCGCAAUGGGCGAAAGCCUGACGCAGCCAUGCCGCGUGAAUGAUGAAGGUCUUAGGAUUGUAAAAUUCUUUCACCGGGGACGAUAAUGACGGUACCCGGAGAAGAAGCCCCGGCUAACUUCGUGCCAGCAGCCGCCGUAAGAC